CAUUCCAAAACUUUUUUCCCAUCGGCUACCGUAACCCGUGUUUUACACGCACUUGUCAUUUUGCGAUCGACACACGCCAUAGAGAAGACAGGUGCGAAAAACCAACCAGCGCAUCUUGUUCGACAACUUUUCACCGACAUAA
ensembl:ncRNA C36F7.17 ncRNA